CCAUCAAAACCAGCAGGGCUACUUUAAAUUAGAAGCCCACUCUGAACUAGAAAUAGCUUUUCAGUGCUAAAUAUUAAAAUAUUCUGGCCAGGUUGCUCAGCUCUAACUGUUGCCUCUGACUGCAAGAAAGUCUACUCAGCUGGAGAGCAAAGUACAAGCAUCAGGGCCUGGAGGCUAACAAUACCAAAUGAGAAAUGCAAGGAAGCUUUUAGACCACAAGGCUGAUGUGGAUCUGAGACAUCUCCUGUGCAAAACUGUUGCAUUAAGGGACUAUCUCUGACAUUGGAGCACUGUGAGGUAAGCCAGGCAGACCAAAUUACAUAGCUGCCUCAUCUAGAAGUAAAUGAACUAUGGGAAAAAAACCCCACUGUUCACUUCUCAUUCUAGCCAAAGGCAAAGACAAGUUUUUAUGAAAAAAAGACAUGAAAAUCCUUUGACUAGAUUUGUAAAGCCCAACCAAAAUCUGUUGUCAUAGGAGUUAGAUAAAUAUGUAGCAUCGAUCUCUUCUAAACACUGCUAAUCUCAGUAACUUCAAGACAGAAGUAGUAGAGAUCAAGGCAACCAGCUCAGUUGUAGCACAGAGAAUCUUUUCUGCACAUAUAUUUCAAUCAGCUGUAAGCAAACUCGAAUGUUCUUCCAUGUUUAAAAUUAUGAAGAUGAAUUUGAGAAACACAACAAAGGGAAGAUAAAGAUUUCAUCAUAAGUAACAACAGCUUUUACUUUUACAUUUACUGCAAGAAAUACGAAAGCCACUCCUUGUUUGUAGCUGUCCCUACGGAGUCUAAAGGAAAGAUAAAGUAAAUAAAAUGUGAAUUCUCUCUAUCUAGGUGCAUUUUUAAGAUACGUAAUUAUUAGAUUUAACCUGUAUAAAACUCAAAUAAACCUCAGUCCUGGAAACAACUGGAUUCAGCUCGGGAAAGCAUUCAGCCAUUGAAGCUAAUUACAGUGGCCUCAAAGAGCUUUCUGUGAACAGAUGCAGUCAUCUCUCUGAAGUUCACCAAGCAUUACACCUAUUGCAUCUCUGACACUUAAGGAAAAAUAUUAGCAAUAGUGAGCUGACCUAAGGUCUAAUCCUGCAAGCAUGCAUGUAGCUGACUCCAUAACGCCCCUAUGGUGAUUACUGGGGACUUAAUUCUCAGCUGUCCUAUUAAAAACCCAUAAGCCACCUAAAAGGGUCAGAGAGCAUCUGGGGUUCUCCUUUAACUGCUAUCAUAAAAUAAGCAGCUGAAUCUACGAAGGAUGGCCACCAGGAAAACAGUCUCUCUGGUGUUUUAAAAGUAAACCAGUCACCACUGCAAAUUGUUUCUAAAGUCAUGCCAUUAGCUGCAUUUUGCCCGGGGUUUGCUGUGCCUCUGAGUUCACCUGAAAACAUCAGACAGUUCACGUAACAGAUUGCAAAGUCACAGGUUUCCAGGGCUACUCUUGAGGACCAGUGGGCACCAGAACAGCAAGUCAUUCAAUCCAGUACGCAGAGGACAAACCGUGCAAGGUGUUUAUAAGGAAGAUAUUUGAAGUUACACAGAAUGUUAUCUGAAGGAAACUUAUAAACUUUUUGCUUGUUACUGUGUGUACCAAAAUUUAUGGCUGAAUUACCUAGAGGACUUCAGCAGCACCCUGAAUGAGGUUCAGGCAUCUUAUUGAAAGCUGCUGCCAAAAGCUGAAGAUCAUUUACACCAGUGCUGGUGUAAGUGUCACAGAAUGUCACCAUGAACUCUCACACAGCAAUGCAUGCUCUGACAAGAUUACUCUCAUGUCAUGGUCAUCUCAGCAGCUUCAAAUGUGCUUAGGAUUGCUUGAGCCUUCUAAGGCAGCAUGUAUCUGAGUCACAGAGGUUGCUACAUGGAGUCUUGAAAAGCAUUCUUCUUGAUACCAUAUUGCCAACUGAUACAAUAUCAGACUAGCAUCCACAUUUUUAAUGCAUGCAUUUUGGCUACGGAAUGCAUGCAACACCAAAGGUUAUAUCACAAAAGCUAUGUACAUCAUCCUAGUUAUAGAUAGGUGGACACAACCAUCGCUCCAGGUGAAAACAGAAUUUAUUUCUAAUGUGAAAAGCUACUUCCCUACCGAAAUAAGAACAUAUUUCUACUUUUUCAGAUCAUCUCUGAAAAGAAGAGCAUAAAUGCUGUAUUGUUACAAGCUAGCAGCACCCACGGAUACCCUCCAAAUGGCUCCACAGAGAGACUAAGCUUCCUGCAGGAGCAUCUGGAUUGCUGCCGAAUGGCCAUCUGUGUUUUACCGUGAAGAGGAUUAUAAAACUAUUUGCCAGAUAGAACCUUAUGUGAAUUUUUUUUCCAUUGCCCCAAAAGUAAGCUAAUUCUUAAGAACAGUAUCUGGAAAAUGGGCCUAUAAUAAUGGGACCUAGAAUUCAGGCAUUUCUCAGCAUUUAAACAAAUGUGCAUGAACAAACUUUCUGCACUGUUCUUAAUAUUUUAAUUGUUUCUUAUCCAUUCCUUCUUUCUCUCCCCUCACUUGCAUACAUAAAUCACUUCUUUUGCUUGCAAGUUUUUCCAGAGCCCCUUUCUCCAUUAUUUACUCAAAAAUAAAGCAGUCCCUAAUUAUUUGGAUCCAUUACAGUAAACAAUUUUUGAGAGGAAAAAAGCCUUUAUAGCUCUGUUUAAGUAAUUGGAGUGUGACAGCACAUCACACUGCAAGAGAUGUUCCUCUCAGAAGAUUAGGUACUUAAUCUGUGAUUGGGCUUGAUAUACUAGGAAGAUUGACAGAGACUCAAGUAAGAGCCAGGACAAAAUAUCAGCUGACAACUGAAAAAAAUAGAGUAUCUCAGAAGAUGUGCUGAUCAUAUAGGAUCAAAUUUUAAUGGACUAGAGAGUAAAAAGAAGCAUUUUCUUUACCUUAGAGUCCAGACAUGAGGGCAGAGGGAAGAAAGGGGAGGGGCAGCCUCCCUUGAAGAAAGGAACGGUAACUUUUUGUUUUCACAAUGUCUUAUUUUGGUAAUAACAAAGAUUGUAUGAAAGAAAAAAAGCUCAAAUACAAAGCAACAAACCAAAAAGUUUUGGUUUGUUUGGUUGUUUUUUUUUUUCUGUGAAAGAGGCUAUGAUCUAGAAGAGACAAGUACCACCCGUAAUUCAGAACACUGCUCAAAAAUACACAUAGGUAUCUCAAAUAUAUUUGUAAAAUUUAAAAUGAGGUUCACAAAAAAAAAAAAAA